UAUAGACUGUAUGAAUGGCUUCCGAGAAUUCAACUGUCUCCUUUGUCUAAUCAGUGAAACUGAUCCCCUCGUGCAGAAACGAGGAUAGUAUCAUAAGACGAGAAGACCCUAUGGAGCUUUAAACUCAUAUCAACAAGUUCACUCCUUAAAAAUUAAUACUAAUUUAACUUGCUCGAUUAAAGUUUUAGGUUGGGGCGACCAUGGAGAAAAAAUAAUCCUCCACGAUGAUUUUAACUAAGAGCUACAGCUCUAAGUAUUAAGACACUUAACUCAUAUUGACCCAUUUUUUGAUCAACGAACUAAGUUACCCUAGGGAUAACAGCGCAAUCCAUUUUAAGAGUCCCUAUCGACAAAUGGGUUUACGACCUCGAUGUUGGAUCAGGGCACCCAAGUGGUGCAACCGCUACUAAAGGUUCGUUUGUUCAACGAUUAAAGCCCUACGUGAUCUGAGUUCAGAAC
rnacentral:rRNA from 1 species